GUGGGAUACAUUUUUUGAUAAAAUAGUCAUUUACAUAUAACUAUUUUGUUUAUAAAAAAUCUUUUGUAAUUUUUAACAAGUUUUUCAGGGACUUGUGAAUCAGAGACAAGGGUGAAUCAAUUAAACUUAUAAAAUGGUCAGAAGUGAAUGUAUAUUUAAUUAAGUGUAUGCAAUCAGCCACCUCUUCAUGAUGCUAAUUAUACCUCACUGUGGAUACAAAACUAUAAAAUACAGGUGAAUUUUGAUCAACCCCUCAAAUUGUAUAGCAUAAUAUGUAUAAUUGCCUUUGUUUGAAAUUUCUUCACUAUGUUUCUGUGGAAUUAGGCCUCAAUCCACUGCACUGAGAGGGUUAGAAGUAUUUGGCUCAGAAGAGAUUCUUCCUCUUCACAGAAGAUAUUUAUUUCUACUUAUGCGUCAAGGCCCCACACUUACAGUGAUUAUCCUUGUGGAUAAGAGAUUAUGUUAUCAAUGGAUUGCACUUGUGUUCCAACAUUGAGUUUCAGGCUGGCUGCUGUAAUCAUGGUUUACAUGCUCUAGUUUUCCUGUCAUUUGAGUUGUUUAUUGUAUAUUUACCAUUUUUUUAGAUGGAUGUGCUGCAGUUGUGACUUGCAUACUACCCCAGGCUAUAAAUUUCAAUUUUUCUUCCUUGAAUUUGGAGUUGAGCCCCAUCUUUCUCCUGUACUGUGAUCACCCAUUGUGUUAAACCUCCUAAAGUCUGCCUUGUCAUUUUUUUUUUUUUUUUUUGUCUUUUGCCAUUUGUUGGGCCGCUCCUGCGGCAUAUGGAGGUUCCCAGGCUAGGAGUCUAAUUGGAGCUGUUGACACCAGCCUACGCCAGAGCCACAGCAAUGCGGGAUCUGAGCCGCGUCUACGACCUACACCACAGCUCACGGCAAUGCCGGAUCAUUAACCCACUGAGCAAGGGCAGGGAUUGAACCCGCAACCUCAUGGUUCCUAGUCGGAUUCGUCAACCACUGCGCCACGACGGGAACUCCUGCCUUGUCAUUUUUAAUAAGUGACAGGAAUAGUGUUUUGUUUUGUUUUUUAACAAGACAUUUCUUUCUCUGCAGAUGUCACCACUCGAGAUCUGGAUUUCCUGUUCUUUUCCAAUCAGAUUUCUAAGUCUGAAGCAAAUGAAUGCGCAAAGACUUGUGAUGUUAUCAUUUAAACCUGUGUUUUAAUUCUCCAACCCACAAAAUUCACAACUGCUUGUUAAUUUCAGUUGUGUAAGCCCUUAGCCUUUGACAUAAGAGCUUUUUUAAAGUAAAUGAUAGAAACUGUGUUUUUCCAGUGCCUUAAAAAUUUUAAAACAUAAACCUAUUAGUUCGCCAUGGUACAAGAAGCAGGCAGCCAACCUUACAAUUCUUACAUAUUUUUAUGAUCCCAGCCUCAUGCUACUCUGUUUCCAGUCUCUCAGUCUACCCAAGCCUUGCUUCAACAGACGUAUCAUUCCAGAUGUAGAGCUGAUUGUAUAAGCAGCCCAUUGACUGACCACUGAAUGCUAUAAUAUACCAAGUCUCUUUACUGCAACUAAAUCCUAAUUUCCAGCAAAACUAACAGGUUGGAAAUUAAUACUGAUUCCUAUUCCCUAAAUAUUUAUUAUCUUAAUUACUAUAUUAACAUUACCAGUAUAGUAAUGUUCUGAAUUACAGAAAACACACCACAGUCUUGAUAGAUUGCAUAUGAGGAUAUAAUGAAAGAAAUGUAUGUGUAGGUAUGUGAGUGGUCUGUGAGUUUAUGCAUAAAAACGUGUAUGUGUUUGUGAAACACACAUAUAUAAUCUCUUCCAGGAUCAUUCAGAGGGUUGAAAUUUCAGUAGUCUAAGUCUCCAGAAAAAACACCACACAAAAUAAAACAGAACUGUGCUCUCUAGUAAGCUAUUGCCACUGCUGCAAUCUGAAAUCCCGAGUUAGGAAGUUUUCGUUAAAACUUCAGACAUCAGCACUACACUGACUUUGCCAGAAUCAAUACCAGCAAAGUUGAUGCCUUCUUUUUUUUCUUUUUCUUUUUUCUCUUUUUUUUGUCUUUUUGCCUUUUCUAGUGCCGCUCCCGCGGCAUAUGGAGGUUCCCAGGCUAGGGGUUGAAUCAGAGCUGUAGCCGCUGGCCUAUGCCAGAGCCACAGCAACGCGGGAUCUGAGCCGCGGCUGCGACCUACACCCCAGCUCACAGCAAUGCCAGAGCCUUAACCCACUGAGCAAGGCCAGGGAUCAAACCCAAAACCUCAUGGUUCCUAGUCGGAUUUGUUAACCACUGAGCCACAACGGGAACUCCAGUUGAUGCCUUCUUGAAUGAUCUCUCUGAGUACUUCAUUUGCAAAUCAACGCCUGGGCAAAUGACAUCCAACUAACAUCUUAAAACACAGACUUAAUCUCAAAUAUCAAAGGAUGCAAGUUUCCACAUGUUAGAAAUUGUUCAGGAGGAAACUGAACAAGUUAAUAAGUAGAAUCAGCCACAGUUAUUUGUGAUUUUUAGGUGUAUGGAAUAUUUUUCCAAGAUAUAAAUUACUGAUUAUUUAUUUAUCAGAUACAGUAACAAUUUUUAUUUCCACUAGCUAAUGUAUUAGUAUUCCCCUUACCCAUAUUUUGUGUGAUAUAUCUCAUUUUACAAUGUUUAAAAUCUCACUGGCUAUAAAUUGUUGAUAACCUAAUCAAUUAUUUUGUCAUGAUUUUAUUAUAUAUUACAGAUAACUUUAAGCAAAACUUUUGUUAUGAAAGUUUUAAAAAAUCCAUUUGUCAAGUACUUUGAUUAGUAUAUAUAUUAGAAACAUAUCAAUAUAUGUGUGUAGACUUUAAAAAAUCUCUAAUUUAUUUAUAAAAUUGUUAUUUUUAAUAUAUUCAUAAUUUGAAUCUGAGUUGCUGAUUUUUUCUUUAUCUUUUUGUUUUAUUUUCUCUAUUAGGUAAAAACUAUUUCCUCUUACUUUUAGGCUUGGUAGACUGAGUCGAAAUGUGAAGACGUCCCUCUUUCUAAGACAUGAAGUUUUUGGUGAAAAUACAACAAAUAAUACAUAUGUAAGUGCAACUAACAUCAAGACACACAUCUUGAGAUUUCAGAAUAAAAGGCAAAUGGUGUAUAAAAGCCAUGGUGAAUAUUGGUUAAAACUGUGGACACUGAAGAUAAAUUACAGGGUUUUUUUCUUUUUAAUUACUCAAUGAAUUUUAUUACAUUUAUAGUUGUACAAUAAUCAUCACAACCAAAGUUUAUAGCAUUUCCAUCUAAACUGUAGUUUUAAAGCCUGACUUUUCCACUAAUCAGUCAUGUGAUAAUUGUGAACUUACUUAGCCUCUCUGUGUCUGGUUAUUUAACCUAUGAAAUGAAAAUUAAUAGGAUUACCAUUUUAAAAUCUUAAUGAGAACUCAGAUUCAAUAUAGACUAAGGCUUUAGAAUAAUGCCUUGUUACAUAGUAAAUGAUUAAUAAAUUUCAGCUGGUUUUCUUAACACAAUUUAGAUCAUAUAGCUAUGAACCAUGUUUUACCAACAAAUGUGCAGUGUAGUAGGCCUCCGACUUCAAAUGGGUUAUUUCUAUUGUCUGGGCCACGAAGGACUGUCACAUGCAAAAUAGAACAUAUGAAGAUCAUGCCUGACAGCUCAUGAAACAACAAGGAAGCUUGGUACCAGUCAGGAAAUCAUAGUUUUGUAAAAUUGCAGAAACCAACAAUUACAGGAGGGAAAUGCACACAAUCCUAAAGUGUUCUCAUUGCAAGGAGAAUUUUUUGUUUGUUUAUUUGUAUCAAUAUGAGAAGAUGGAUGGUGGGUGAAUCUCUUGGGAUAAUCAUUUCACAAUAUAUGUAAAUAAAACCACUACAGUUUAUGCCUUAAACAUGAAUAGUGAUAUAUGUCAAUUAUUUCUCAGUAAAACUGGAAAGAAUGAUUAAUUUUCCCUUUCUAGGUAGCAUAAAAGGACUUUUCUAUUAUCCUCACAAUGAGAACCUGAUAGGGCUCAUUAAAAUGUGAUGGUCGCAUAAGACUGGACCCCAUCAGAGUCAUUUUUUUUUUCUUUUCUUACAGCUGCACCUGCAGCACAUGGAAGUUCCCCGGCCAGGGGUUGAAUUGGAGCUACUGCUGUGGGCUGCACCACAGCCAUGGCCUACACUGCAGCUUGUGGCAACACCAGAUCCUUAACUGAGUGAGGCCAGAGAUCAAAUCUGCAUCCUUAUGGUCCCUACAUGUCGUUCUUAAAUCACUGAGCCACAACAGGAACUCCCCAUUCAGAGUUUUUUGUUUUUUGUUUUUGUCUUUUUGCCAUUUCUUGGGCCCCUCCCACGGCAUAUGGAGGUUCCCAGGCUAGGGGUCAAAUCAGAGCUGUAGCCACCGGCCUAUGUCAGAGCCACAGCAACUCAGGAUCCGAGCCAUGUCUGCAACCUUCACCAAAGCUCAAGGCAACGCCGGGCCAUUAACCCACUGAGCAAGGCCAGGGAUCGAACCCUCAGCCUCAUGGUUCUUAAUCGGAUUUGUUAACCACUGCACCACGACAGGAACUCCCCUGUUCAGAGUUUUUAACUCUUAAACUAGUCUACACUGAGCUUUCAGCACUUCAUCAAUUACAGUUUAAAGUGUUCCUUCUGACAUUGGCUCUAGUUGUAGUUGUUUGAUUCUGGGUUCUGCUCUUGAUAAGCUGAGAUUUUCUGUAUCUGCCUGUAUGUUUAAGUUUUUUCAGUGUAGCAAUUUGCACAGAGAUCUCAAUUCUCUACUGGGCAUAAGAAUUGUUUAUUUUCUGUUCAGCUUUUUUGUUGUGGUUGUACGGAUAGGGGUUAUGAUUUCUGGGCUUUUUACAUAUCAGACUGGAAGAUUUUUGAUAAGAGCACUAAAGCAGUUCUGUGGGAAAAGGAAAAUAUCACCAACAAAGGAAAUGGAAACAAAUUACUAUUCAUACAGAAAAGAGAAUGAGAAAUUUGACCCCAAUUUCACACCAUUAAAAAAAAAACAACAAAAAAAACUGAGAUGAUCCAUAGACUUAAAUGGCCUCAAAAAUAUGCUAGAAUAAAACAGAUUGUUUGCAACUUUGGUAGAGGCUGGGAUUUCUAAAAAAGAAUGUAGAAAGGACAAAUAUAGAAUAUAAAAUUGAAAAAUCAGAUGUCAUUGAAAGUAAAACUUUUAGCUGCUUUUUAAAAGAUAGUUUUUUCUCAAAAGAUAUACAUUAAAUUUUCUUCAAAUUUUAACCCUCUAUAAGUCAAGAAUUAUAGUUACAUACAAGAAGAACCAGCCUAGCUAAAUUAAGCAGAAAAGGAUUAUUACUCUUAUACGUUACUCUUAUAUGUAAAGGUAUAAGAUAUUUCACAGAAGCCUUGGGGGUUAUGAAAACUAAAGCUCUUCCUGCUAAAAAGACAGCAGAAUGAUAUCAAGCUUUUUUAGGAAAACAUUGCCUCAGUUCCAACCUGCUUCUGAACAGCUACUGUGCCAGAGAAUGAAUUCUAGAAUACUAAUAAAAACAGUCUGACACCUCUCUGUUUAUAUUUCCUCUCUUAAUUUUCUUUUUUCUUACUUUUUUCUUUUUAUGGCUGCACCUACAGCAUAAGGAGGUUCCCAGGUUAGGGGUCAAAUUGGAGCUGCAGCUACAGGCCUGUAUCACAGGCACAACACUGGAUCUGAGCCACAUCUGCUUGUGGCAAAGCUGGAUCCUUAACCCACUGAGAGAGGCCAGGGAUCAAAUCUGCAUCCUCACAAACACUAUAUCAGGUUCUUAACCCUCUGAACCACAACAGGAACUCCUCCUCUCAAUUUUCAAGCCUUGUCUAUACAACUGAUUAAGUGAUUCUGGCUCCAAUUCUGGGU
rnacentral:lncRNA from 1 species